AUGUAGACAUUUUGCCAGCGUUGCCUAGAUCUAUGAUGCAAGUUACAAGUGGUUAAAAACAAAAUUUUGACGCCUUUUAACCGGUAUGUUGUUUUUUACGUGCGAUGAACUACAUAAACAGAUGAAAUAUUGUGCCAACGAAAGUUCGGGCGGUUCAAAAUCAUUGUGUAGUGUCGGAUUAUGUAGUUAAAGUGCAAUUUUUUAAACUAGUGCCUGUUUUUUCGUGUUUAUGUGUUUAUUUUUGGAGUUUAUUAAACAAUUGUGUAUCUCAACAGAGUUUUAAAAAAAAUCUUGUAGUGUUCCGGUUCGUGUAGUGUAAUUUAUCGAUAUUUUAUUAUGAAUUGUGAUGUAAGUGUUUUAAUCUCGGUGUAAUAUCCGUUUGUUUGUUUAAAACGUUUAGUGAAAAUGACUACGCGCGGAAGAAAGAAAAGUAAACAAGAAAAAGAUGGAUUUAUGAAAAAGGUCUCGUCUCUUUUUAAUCUGGACGUGGUAAGUAAUUUCACAUACUAUUUUAGGCUCACUUACUAAUAUGCAAUUGCAUUUUAAAGCACUAGAUGUUAGUUAUAAAGCGUGUUCCGAGACUUGAUGCAAAAAAUUGGGGAGUGAAUAGUUGAUUAACCGACCCCAAAACGUAAACAUCGGUUGCGUUAUUGGAGCGUUUGUAGACAAGCUAAAGAACCGUGUCACAUAUCAAUGAAAACGAUGGCUAAAUUGAUUUGGGCUCCCUAAUUGCUUCAGCCACAAUUUUCUACGUAUCUGGUUUUCAGCGUCUUUUGUCUUUUCUCAGACGUCAAGAGAAAGUUCGCUGGAUAUAAAUUUUAUGUCGAUUAAAAGACGUUAUCCUCGAGACUGAGACGCUAAAGACAAAUUAUACUAAAAAAAUUGUACCUAAUAAUCUCUAAUAUAGUUAUAUCGCCUUCGAAUAUUGAAUAAUGAAAUCAGAUUCAACAAAAAAAUAUUAUAAUAGACCACUUUUUAGCCCACCUGUUAGUCACGUUUUUUAUAUAAUAAGUUUUUUAUACAGUACAGUACAGUACAGUAGUUUAUACAGAGUGUUCCGGGACUUGGGCAAAAAAUUCGGGAGAGACUAGAUGACGUGAAAAUAAUGCUGUGACAUAAAAAAAAUUCUCAUUCGUUAUAGGUUUUUAAACUUGCGAAAUCAGAACUUAUGUUUAAGUAAAUUUUCUAAAUGAUUAGUAAACAUAUUUAAUUCAAUAAAAUUUAUGGUUCAGGAGAUAUGUAGAUUUUUAGAUCGUUGUACAUGCCAAGAAAACCGUUCGCCAUAAAGAAACAUUGUGAAGAAAAUUAUCAUAAAUUGUAAUUAUUUACAGAAAAUACUUACAGAAGGUAUUAAAACAAAAUCAAACAUUUCUAAUUGAACUGCGUACUAUCGAACAUCGUGUUACUUGAAUACAUUUAAUAUUUAUAUAGAGAUACAUUUUUUUGCAUUGUCGAAUCAUAUUUAAAGGGAAGUAGCCAAUAUGUUAAAUUGGGUAACACAUGUAGCACAAAGUUACAUAAUAAUUACGGAGUACCACAAGGUUCAGUCCUUGGACCGCUGUUUUAAUUUUUGUAUAUUUUUAACUUACAAUUUGCUAACCUUAAAGGACAGUACCACACAUUUGUAGAUGAUACAUUAUUAGUGAAAAUGAAAAAGAAA